AUUCUUCAUAGCUUUUUUUGAAUUUCUAGAGGGUUCAACAUAGCUUCAAAAUGCAAGUUUACAUCAGAAACUCACCAUUAAAUAUAAUAUUCUCUGUGAUUCUUGUACUGGUUGGGACUAAAUGGUGAGACAAAACCCUUAUUUACUGUCGUAUUCUUUUGUUUUUCAAGACCUUUAUCAACCAACAGUGAAGAUAAUACAACCAACUGACUCUGAGCUCUCUACAUCAGACGUCCUCACACUUGUUUGCCUAGUUUCUGGAUAUUUCCCACCCAAUAUCAGAGUGUACUGGAAAGAGAAUGGCCAGAGACUUCCAUUAACUCGCUACACCAACAGUGAUGCAUGGCAAUACACAGGGAGCAGCACUUAUUCAAUGAGCAGCAACUUAAACAUAUCCAAAACUGAGGACAAGAGUUCUACAUAUUCUUGUGCUGUGAGACAUGAGUCAUCUGAAACACCUUUUGAAAGCAGUAUACAAAAUGUGUUUGCCACAGUGACCUACAGCAAACUUUCAGCCACCUUGCUCCAGGGAACCAGUGGACUCGUAUGCCUGGUCUUUGACUUCAGCCCUGAAUCCAUUAACAUCACUUGGUUUCUUUAUGGCUCCAUAGAACUGUUUGACUACAACACUAGCGAGCCUUAUAGAGGCCAGAACGGAAAGUUCAGUGUCCGAAGCCAUCUUCAUCUGUCUCAAGGCUACUGGUUACCUGGGGCAGUCAUCACCUGCAGGGUGACACAUGCAAACACCACCCUAUCCCUGAAUAUAUCUAAACCAGAUAUGUUGGAGCACUGUGAUUUCUUUGAUGAAAUCAUGCAUGCUGAUGUGAACCAAGACAUAGGUGCAGGAAGCUGGUAUAUGGCUGUCGCUUUCAUAAUUUUUUUCCUCAUCUCUGUCAUCUAUGGUGUCUCAGCUACCAUAAUUAAGACUAAAUGAUGAUCACAAGAUGGAUCCCAUCUUAUGAUCCAUAUGUGAACUUUGACUUUUUUUCCCUUUUUUU